UACAGAGGGGGCAAGCGUUAUUCGGAAUUAUUGGGCGUAAAGGGCGCGUAGGCGGCCUGGCAAGUGGAAGGUGAAAUCCCUCGGCUUAACCGAGGAACUGCCCUCCAAACUGCUUGGCUUGAGUCCGGGAGAGGUGAGUGGAAUUCCCAGUGUAGCGGUGAAAUGCGUAGAUAUCGGGAGGAACACCAGUGGCGAAGGCGGCGAUCUGGGAAGAUACUGACGCUGAGGUGCGAAAGCGUGGGGAGCAAACAGG
rnacentral:rRNA from 1 species